rnacentral:rRNA from 1 species
AGCGAACGCUGGCGGCAGGCUUAACACAUGCAAGUCGAGCGGGCCCUUCGGGGUCAGCGGCAGACGGGUGAGUAACACGUGGGAACGUACCCUUUGGUUCGGAAUAACGCUGGGAAGCUAGCGCUAAUACCGGAUACCCCCUUUUGGGGAAAGGCUUGCUGCCGAAGGAUCGGCCCGCGUCUGAUUAGCUAGUUGGUGGGGUAAUGGCCUACCAAGGCGACGAUCAGUAGCUGGUCUGAGAGGAUGAUCACCCACACUGGGACUGAGACACGGCCCACACUCCUACGGGAGGCAGCAGUGGGGAAUAUUGGACAAUGGGCGCAAGCCUGAUCCAGCCAUGCCGCGUGAGUGAUGAAGGCCUUAGGGUUGUAAAGCUCUUUUGUCCGAGACGAUAAUGACGGUACCGGAAGAAUAAGCCCCGGCUAACUUCGUGCCAGCAGCCGCGGUAAUACGAAGGGGGCUAGCGUUGCUCGGAAUCACUGGGCGUAAAGGGCGCGUAGGCGGCCAUUCAAGUCGGGGGUGAAAGCCUGUGGCUCAACCACAGAAUUGCCUUCGAUACUGUUUGGCUUGAGUUUGGUAGAGGUUGGUGGAACUGCGAGUGUAGAGGUGAA